GGCGUGGUAGCCAAGUGGUAAGGCAAGGCUCUGCAAAAGCUUCAUCGUGGGUUCGAUUCCCACCCAUGCCU
rnacentral:tRNA from 1 species